rnacentral:misc_RNA from 1 species
UACGGAAAAGCAACGGACAUGUGGCGAGCAUCGACGCUAACUCGAUAUCUGUCGACAAAUAUCAAUUGUCAUUGAUACAAAACGGGAUCUUCUUGCUGUGCAUCAUCGCGUGUAAUCUAAGCACAGAUAGGAUCUAAAGAACGAGCUAGUCAUUUUAGUCCUCCACUUCGGCCAAUCCAAUGAUCGCUGAGCAUUCUACCUCGAACCUUUCAUGGAGUCAUUACAUUAAGUGCACUUCAGAUCGAACCCGAUCGCAGGUCGCGGAGGUGUAAAACGAGCCGAGAGCGAGACCGCCGUGCAAACUCGAGGGUCGCGUCGGACGAAGCGAGGAUGGACAGGGUGGUCGACGUUUAAG